AGAUGUUUGAUUUUGGCUUGAGUUUUUAUGUUAUUAUUAAGGUUGCAUGAAAGUUAGAGCGAAAGGGGAAAACUUGAUUUUAUAUCGGGUUGGAACAUAAUAAAGUUUAAACUAUGAAGUUUUUAAUCUCAGCAUAAAGCAUUAUAAAGUAAAUAUACUAAAGUAUGAUAUAGUAAUAAUAUCAAAAUCUGAUAUACUUAUGUGCCAGCAUUCGCGGUUAUACCUAAAGAUUAAGUAAAAAGUUUAAGGUUGUAGUUAAAUGAAUUAUAUAGAUUGUGAUACAGGUACAAAUAAAUAAAAGGUAAAAUUAGGAUGUUAUUUUGUAUGGAAACUCAAUUAUAAUUGAAGCUAAGAAAAAUUAGUAAUAAACUAGGAUUAGAUACCCUACUAUUCUAAAGUAGUUAAAUUAAAACUGAAUUAGUAAAAGUUAGAUACUUAAAAUUUAAAAAAUUUGGCGGCAAUUUAAUCUUUUCAGAGGAACCUGUUUUAGAAUCGAUAAUCCACGAAAAAUCUUACUUGGCUUUGUUAUAAACAGUUUGUAUACCAUCAUUAUCAGAUGAUUCUUAGAGGAAGAAAUUGUUGGGUAUGGUUGUCUAAAUAAAUUAGAUCAUGGUGCAGCUUAUAGUCAAGGUAAAAUGGGUUACAAUAAAUUAUUUUAUUGCGGAUUAGACAAAAUAAUUUUGUUAUGAAGAAGGAUUUGAUUGUAUCAAAAGUUUAAUAAGCUAAUGAGAUAUAAGUUAUAAAUUGUGUACAUAUCGCCCGUCGCUUUCAUUUAUAAGUGAAAUAAGUCGUAACAUAGUAGAUGUACUGGAAGGUGCAUCUAGU
rnacentral:ncRNA from 1 species